rnacentral:rRNA from 1 species
GCUCAGGACGAACGCUGGCGGCGCGCUUAACACAUGCAAGUCGAGCGAGAACCAGGGCUUCGGCCCUGGGGACAGCGGCGAACGGGUGAGUAACACGUGGAUAACCUGCCCUCGGCACCGGGAUAGCCCGGGGAAACCCGGAUUAAUACCGGAUGGCCCUUCCGGCUCACGAGCCGGUCGGAAAAGGUAGCUUCGGCCUCCGGCCGAGGAUGGGUCCGCGGCGGAUUAGCUUGUUGGUGGGGUAACGGCCUACCAAGGCUCCGAUCCGUAGCUGGUCUGAGAGGACGAUCAGCCACACUGGGACUGAGACACGGCCCAGACUCCUACGGGAGGCAGCAGUGGGGAAUCUUGCGCAAUGGGCGAAAGCCUGACGCAGCGACGCCGCGUGAGGGAGGAAGGCCUUCGGGUUGUAAACCUCUUUCAGGAGGGACGAAGCUACUCGGGUGAACAGCCCAGAGGGUGACGGUACCUCCAGAAGAAGCCCCGGCUAACUACGUACCAGCAGCCGCGGUAAUACGUAGGGGGCAAGCGUUGUCCGGAUUUACUGGGCGUAAAGAGCGUGUAGGCGGCCACUCAGGUCCGUUGUGAAAACUGGAGGCUCAACUUCCAGACGUCGACGGAAACCGCGUGGCUAGAGUCCGGAAGAGGAGAGUGGAAUUCCUGGUGUAGCGGUGAAAUGCGCAGAUAUCAGGAAGAACACCAAUGGCGAAGGCAGCUCUCUGGGACGGUACUGACGCUGAGACGCGAAAGCGUGGGGAGCGAACAGGAUUAGAUACCCUGGUAGUCCACGCCGUAAACGAUGGGUGCUAGGUGUGGGAGGUGUCGACUCCUUCCGUGCCGUAGCUAACGCAUUAAGCACCCCGCCUGGGGAGUACGGCCGCAAGGCUAAAACUCAAAG